ACGGCGAGUGAAGAGGGAAAAGCUCAAAUUUUAAAUCUACCUGGUUCCCAGGUCGAAUUGUAAUUUGAAGAAGCGAAAUCUGUGUUGAGGUCUGGUUCAAGUUCUUUGGAACAAGACAUCAUGGAGGGUGAGAAUCCCGUGCAUGAUCAGGCCAAGAUACUUAAUAUUCGUUUUCUAAGAGUCGAGUUGUUUGGGAAUGCAGCUCAAAUUGGGUGGUAGACUUCACCUAAGGCUAAAUAUCAGCGAGAGACCGAUAGCGAACAAGUACUGUGAAGGAAAGAUGAAAAGCACUUUGAAAAGAGAGUUAAAUAGUACGUGAAAUUGUUGAAAGGGAAACGAUUGAAGUCAGUCAUGCUAGUGAAAAUUCAGUUUGACGGGUUUUGGGUUUGGGAGUAAGAGGUAGGGUCAAACCGUCUCUCUUUUAAACUUGGGAUUUGUCGGAUGCACUUUUUCUUUGGCAGGUCAGCGUCGAUUUCAGAGGCUGUAAAAUACUUGGGGGAAAGUAGCUCUGCUUCGGGAGAGUGUUAUAGAUCCUGGGGGAUGCAACCUGUGGGAUCGAGGAUUGCAGCAAAUGCCUUUGGCUUGUCGCCUGAUCUCUGGUUGUUACCUCAUUUAUGACAACAUUCUUGUCAUCGAUGAGUGCUAAUGGCUAUUAGGUUAGAACGAUCAAAAAUUUGCUAAGGAUGCU
rnacentral:rRNA from 1 species